AUGUUUUUGCAUAGCAACAGCCCCUAGCCCCUUACCCCCGACCACACUGGAGGGUGGAGGGGGGGAUUACGUGUUCACUGGAAUAAAAGGUAAAGCCACUGCGCGUUAUUAUUAUAACAUUAACCAGAAGGAUUCGCAAUUAAACGUCUGUAGUUGUCUGUGUAUUUCUUUAUUUGGUGAUUGCAUGUGUAAACACUGUGGGUCUUAGUGUCCUGAGCUGAAACGGUUAAAGUUUGCUCAGUUGGAAAAAGUGAAGUCUGCACAGCAACAAGCGCCACGAUUGCAUCGCGGGCUGCAGUAAAAGCAACUGAGCUCCGAGUACGCGCGUGUGUAUGUGUGUGUUUUGGUCCAGUUGCUGACGUUUUCGUACAUAACGGUCAUCAGUUGCUACCUUAUCGGCAGGAUUUCUCUCUCUCUCUCUCUCUGAAUACGCUGUCUAUUUGCGCACUAUAGCUCGAUAUACACUGGCUCAGGAAAGAACUAUGGAUAAAUCAUGCACUCGACGUGAAACUUACUCAGCUGUUUCAUAGCUAAGUUCCUCACUAUUACAGUCAUACAUUUUUGCAUGAAGUAGCAAUUUUAGAGAGACAAUCUAAUAAUUUGUGGCAUUGAUGUUUUUAUUGACUUGGGUUUUAAAAAAAUAUAUAAUAAUAAUAAUAAUAAUAGGCUGGGAUUUGCCAUAGGUUAAUUCCAAAGCAGUUAGGAUUCAGCCUCAUUAUGAGAUACACGAGUAAGAUGCAUGUUAGUCACUAAUAAGUGGCAUCGAUUUGAUCAGUUUUUUCACUCGCUGACCCGCUUUCAUGUUCCAUUCCAGCCCGAGAUGGAUCUGCUGGAGGAGGACCUGACAUGCCCAAUAUGCUGCUGUCUCUUCGAGGACCCACGUGUGCUGCCAUGUUCACACAGUUUCUGCAGGAAGUGCCUGGAAGGCAUCCUAGAGGACAACCGGACCCCUGUGUGGAGACCCCCGUUUAAAUGUCCGACAUGCCGAAAGGAGACCACGCACAACGGCAUCUCGAGCCUCCAGGUUAACUAUUCCCUGCGCAGCAUCGUGGAGAAGUACAACAAGAUCCGCUCGAGCCCAACAAUGUCUCAGUGUCGCGCGCACAGCGGCCAGCCCCUGAACAUCUUCUGUGCCACAGACCUGAAGCUCAUCUGUGGGUUUUGCGCCACUACAGGUGAGCACAAAGGGCACAAAUUCUGCGCGCUAGAGGAGGCGUACGAACGAGAGAAGGUCGCCUUCGAGGAGCUGCUCCGUGCCGUGGAGAGCUGGAAAGGCGCUGAGGUGAUCUCCUGCCUAGAAUCGCUCGAGGGGGCGAAGAAAAAAGCGCUGCAGAUGGCCUCGCGAGACGUGGACCGGGUCGCGGAGUACUUUGACAAGCUGCUCCGCGCGCUUGAACACAAGCGCAGCGAGAUCCUCUCGGACUUUGAAAGCCUGAAGCUGGCGGUCAUGCAAACCUUUGACCCGGAAAUCAACCAGCUCCGCUCGGCACUCGAGGAACAGCAGCGCGCGCUGCGCCUUGCCGAGUCGUUCAGCACGCUCUCUGACCCGCUCACCUUCUUGCAGCGCAUGCAGGACUUUCGCGAGAAGGUGCGCGCCAUUCGUGAGACGCCUCUGCCCGGGCGCACGGAUGUUGACGUUGGGGCGCUUGUGCCCAGCUUCGACGUGCACGAGUGGGACCGUGUGCGCCUGGGAGACGUGGACGCGCUGCGCGCUCCGCACGAGGGCGGCGCUCUCCGAUCACCGUCUAGUCGCAUCGCCCCCCCGCGUCUCUCCCGGAGUCUGUGGAGUUUCGUCGGUUUGGCGUGCGCGUGCCUGUGCGUGCUGAACUUUCUUCCGCCAGACUGUUUUGCCGUGAGUCUGUCCGCUAAAGCGGUAUCCGCUCUGGCUGGCUUCUCCGUACCCGCUCCUGCGGAAAUGCUGCGGUGGCUCGCGCUUUGCUGGCAGGAGGUGGCGGGAGUGUGUGCGCUCCUCACCGAGCUCUGCCGGAACUACGUUACUGAGCUCAUCGACACCACGUCAGAGUUCAUCAGCUGAUUCUCUUUCACUGGUGGACUUUGCUCCUUUGCCGCACGAGGCUAAGGCGUACGGAUGCGUAUAAACUCAUCUUCACGCUUAAUACUACAGAAUUGAUCAGGGCUCAAGAACCUGGAUGGGCGACAAACUUCAGAAGGUGUGAGUAAGUAACACUGCUAAUUCACCGCAGUCAGGACAAAGAUCUUGUGCCGCUUGGUGACUUCUUGCUUCAGCAGCACGAGGAUACUGGAGACAUCUGCCAUGGUGUAACUCCAAUAUUUACAUGCUGCUAAAGCAAGACAACACACUCCCACAUGUGCAGUGCAUGUCCAAGGCACUGAUGCUGCAGCACAGUAUGGCCUGCAUCUCUGUAUCACCACAAACCAUUCUGUGCUGCUACACCAGCACUUGAAGAGCAUAUCUCUCUUUCUCUCCCUCUCUCUCACACACACUGUUCAUGGUUACUUUUUGCUUCCCCACAGGACUCCAUCUGAAACAAAAAAAGUGGAAAAUUCUUAAAUGAGUAUAUAAACAUUCCUCCCCAACAACCCCAUAUAUUUAUAUUAACAUUAAUGUUUAUAGCAUGGUUGUAUGAAAUUGAGAUUUGAUGUUCAGAUAUUGUGCAGAUUCUUUUAUACAUGUAAUGAUUAUUGUAAAUGCACCACAAUAUAUAGUCAGCAUGCACAGUAUUUAUUAUUAUAAUAACGAAGAACAAAUAUGUAUUUUUAACAGCAGGCUCAACAGAAAUUGGACCUUUAUCUCUGAAGCACCCUGUGAAACUACUUCUGUACUACAUGGAGAAGGGCUCAAAACUGCUGAGGACCUAACAGGAUCUUGGAUAACCAGCCCAGGCUGUCAUUCUACCAGCCGAACGAUUACUGUUCCUAUAGACUGAUCACUAUGCCAGCACUGAUCCAUUUUUCCUCCCAACCAGAUAUCUAUUACCAACAUCAUUGUAACAGCCAACCUUAAAUAAUCCAGCAUUGUUGGCCCAGCCAAGUUUUGACACAGCCUUAUUAAAUUUGGUGAGAUAAAUACACUUGGCAAUGUUGAUGCACUCUGUUUAAAAGCAACAGGAAAGACAUAGUUAAACUAAUUCCAGAUCAAAAUCGCAUCGUAUUGCAAAUUGACAUUUUGACCAAUUGAAUGUGUAUGGGUGUGGCAGCUGCACAGCAGGUAAAACGACUCGGACUACAAAUCUAUGCUGAAUCAUGCAUUUAACUGCACUAUCAUGGAAAAACUGAGAAUCAGAUGCAUUAAAUUGUUACCUUUCAAUGUUUGGUAACGGUGUCCAAAGUUUUGCAGGUAAACUGUGCAAAAGCUUACAGUAAUUGUUCCUCGCCUGUUUUAAAUACUGACAAGAUCAAACAAACAGUUACACCAGAAGAAAAGAAGGGGGGUAUGGGGGGCAAGUGCAAUUAGGUGGGCAAAAGCCACAAUAAGACAAUGUCCAUGUUUUAUUAUCCGCUAGUCUAUUUCUUUUUUUCAAAGCUACAGUGUAAUUCAAAACAAAUCUAUAUUAUUAAAAACUUUAAGCUCAUUUCUAACACACUAUACACAGCAGUUCUAUUAAUUUUUAGUGACCAAAAAAUAAAACAUGAUGUGGCCACUACAACCAAUCACUGCGAGUUGUCACUGGCCUGGUGAGCAGUGUGUUGCAAAUAUGCAUCCAAAGACUUAUUCCUCACUAAUUUCAGCUUGGGUUGUAGUCCAACAGAACAGUGAACCUUUAGAGCAGAAGAUUUAGAUGUCAGAGUUUUUCUUUUCU